rnacentral:rRNA from 1 species
GGCCUAACACAUGCAAGUCGAGCGGCAGCGGGAAAGUAGCUUGCUACUUUUGCCGGCGAGCGGCGGACGGGUGAGUAAUGCCUGGGGAUCUGCCCAGUCGAGGGGGAUAACAGUUGGAAACGACUGCUAAUACCGCAUACGCCCUACGGGGGAAAGGAGGGGACCUUCGGGCCUUUCGCGAUUGGAUGAACCCAGGUGGGAUUAGCUAGUUGGUGGGGUAAUGGCUCACCAAGGCGACGAUCCCUAGCUGGUCUGAGAGGAUGAUCAGCCACACUGGAACUGAGACACGGUCCAGACUCCUACGGGAGGCAGCAGUGGGGAAUAUUGCACAAUGGGGGAAACCCUGAUGCAGCCAUGCCGCGUGUGUGAAGAAGGCCUUCGGGUUGUAAAGCACUUUCAGCGAGGAGGAAAGGUUGAUGCUUAAUACGUAUCAACUGUGACGUUACUCGC